GCCGGGUGUGGUGGCGGGCACCUGUAGUCCCAGCUGCUCGGGAGGCUGAGGCAGGAGAAUCACUUGAACCCGGGAGAUGGAAGUUGCAGUGAGCUGAGAUUGUGCCACUGCACUUCAGCCUGGGUAACAGAGCGAGACUCCGUCUCCA
rnacentral:SRP_RNA from 1 species